rnacentral:lncRNA from 1 species
AAAUAAUUGUAGGGGACAGCUAGAGACCUCUGCAGAGGAGCCAAACAGGUUUGGAAACCAGUUUGGGCUCAGCAACCCUGCACAGUGGGCAGUCACCUGCGCACAGGAGGAUCUGGAGCAGAACCCGACCGAACACCAGGAAGUCAGCCCAGGUUUGCCGAGAGCCUGAAGGCAUGCAGUCCAAAGAGAUCCAUCAGUCUGCUCACGAAGGGAAUAAAGCUGGCUCCCCGAUGUAAUUACAGGCUGGCUGAAUUGGAAUUCCGAACUU